AGAAAAUGCAAAAAAAUCUGAAAUAGUGCAAAAAAUUACUAAUACUGCAAAACUAAAGCGGCUCUCAAAGAAACAAUUGAAAAUGAUUAAGAAACGUUAAAUUGAUAUUAUAAUAAAUACAUUUUGGGAUUUUUUUCAUCUAUCAAACAUUAGGUAUAUAUAGGUUUAAUUGGGUUGCAAAUUUAGGUUCAUGAUAUCAAAAACAGCUUA